rnacentral:rRNA from 1 species
UACGAAGGGGGCUAGCGUUGCUCGGAAUCACUGGGCGUAAAGCGCACGUAGGCGGAUCUUUAAGUCCGGGGUGAAAUCCCGAGGCUCAACCUCGGAACUGCCCUUGAUACUGGGGAUCUCGAGUCCGGAAGAGGUUGGUGGAACUCCGAGUGUAGAGGUGAAAUUCGUAGAUAUUCGGAAGAACACCAGUGGCGAAGGCGGCCAACUGGUCCGGCACUGACGCUGAGGUGCGAAAGCGUGGGGAGCAAACAGG